ACCACAGAAGAAGCACCGGCUAACUCCGUGCCAGCAGCCGCGGUAAUACGGAGGGUGCGAGCGUUAAUCGGAAUUACUGGGCGUAAAGACGCAUGCAGGCGGUCCGUUGUUAAGUCAGAUGUAGAAAGGCCCGGGGCUUAACCUCGGAAUUGCAUUUGAAACUGGCAGGCUAGAGUCUUGUAGAGGGGGGUAGGAAUUUCAGGUGUAGCGGUGAAAUGCGUAGAGAUCUGAAGGAAUACCAGUGGCGAAGGCGGCCCCCUGGACAAAGACUGACGCUCAGAUGCGAAAGCGUGGGGAGCAAACAGGAUUAGAUACCCUGGUAG
rnacentral:rRNA from 1 species